GGCUCCUUCACAGGAGGGAAUUCACGCCUGAUACUGUGCAGAUCUGGUUACAAGACGUGCCAGGGAAGUCAUGGAGGCCCUUCCCACCUCCCGGGACCUAUUGGAUACUGGAGAAUAAGGAGUCACUGUCCUCAGCUCCAUACUGGUGCUCAGGUGGAAGACCCUGCUUGAACUCAGCGGGUCACAAAACACAACAGAAAGACUUGAGAGUAGGAUGGGGACCCAGAAGGAGAGGGGUCAGUGAGGGUUGGCGUGAGGGUGAGAGGAUGGAGAGGAUGGGGGCAUGAGUGUGAUCCGUGUACUACACACAUGUGUGAACUGGCAAAGAAGUCAAUGACAAGGAAGUUAUUCACAACAUUAUCAUUCUCUUUCUUUUGUGUGCAAAUUAAGUGUAUCUAAGAGGGCGUCUUAUUGUUCCUGGUUUGUUUGGUUUUUGAGACAAGAUCUCAGUAGGUAACCUGGAAUUUACUGGAUGUCAUCAAAGUCAUCAGGGGUGUUGCCUUUGAUGUGACGCUGAUAUUUCUCUUACUAUUGGGCAUUUCUCCCAGUGCUCACAGGUACCUCCUCCUGAUUCAGUUUUCUAUAUCCACUGUCUAGUUAUCCAUUUAGCAAAAUGUUUUGUUGCAAAAUGUUCUAACAAUGUAACAGACAUUCUGUAUAUAAAUCCUGAUGCAUGUGUCUCUCUGCUUUACAUUAAUCAAAUAAGACUAAUACUCCUCAAAACACUAUUCAAAUUAAGUGACUGGAAUUAUAAUUAUUCUGUUUCAUCAAACUAUGAUGCUAUUAUUUUCUGAACCUGUAAGAGGAAAAAAAAAACUCCUCCAAUUACAACUGUAAGAAGUGUCAUGAUUUCAGAGACACUAAUUAGCGUAAGAGUGUGACUCCCAGAGUGGAAUAGCUAUGACCGUUACAGGUGUAUCAGCUAAUCAGAGAACUAUUUUCAGUAAAUCUCCCUUUCCACUAUUUAUGCUAACCUAUAUUACUGACUCUGGGAUGCCCACUUCUCUUUUUAGCCAUAUAAAUAUCCCUGUUGAUUACUGUUAUUAGUAAGUCAGUUUCUUACUUAGGACUAAGUGACUAACAGACAUAACAUGGAAAAAACCUGAAGUCGCCACUUCUAAAUACAACGGGAUGAGGCUAGCUUAAGGAGCCAGCAGUCUUGGUCUCUCUGAUUAAAUAUUUAUUGGGAGUCAUAAUACAUAGUAGGUACUGAGCUGUGAAUCAUUGAUGAAGAUGAUGGGGUAAACCCCAAAAUUGUUGAGGGGUUCUAAUCUAUACUAAAAAUAUACAAAUGACCACCAGGGAGAUAAAAAGGUGGCAAUAGGUAAGGGGCAUUCUGUCCUUAAAAUUAAAGUUCAACCGAUGCUGUACAUAUAAAAUGUAGCUUGUGCAUGCUACUAGCUCCAGAAUUGGGGGAAACAAGGAAGGAGAAGUGAGAGUCUGGGGCUAGUGAGGGCUACAUAAUGAAAUCAUCAUGGCUCAAAUAAAGACAGGAAAACCUGAAAAACAAAACUCCUCCAUCCCAUUCCCUCCCCUUCUCACCAGUCCCCACCCUGGACAGCACUCACUGAUAGCUGUCUGUCUCUAAAAGUUGAUGUGUGUUUUCUGGAACAGUACAGAAGGUACCGUGCACUGCAGGAACCAAAACCAGACACACAGGUGUGGAUCGCAACCAACCACACAUAACUGAGACUGGAUGAGGAGGAGGGGACUACUGUAUUCUCCAUCCACAGAGCCUUUUACUCAUUACAGCAAUGCAAAGUCCAUCCGUGUUGCACAUAUCUUUUCAUUUUUUUAUUUAUUUUAUGUAUAUGCUGUUGCUGACACACCAGAAGAGGGCUUCAGAUCCCAUUACAGAUGGUUGUGAGUCACCAUGUGGUUGCUGGGAAUUGAACUCAGGACCUCAGUGUAAGCACUGAUAGAGGACAGCAGAGGGUGUUACAUCUUUUGGGGCUGGAGUUACAGAUGGUUGUGAGCUGAUCAGCAUGGAUGCCAGGAACUGAACUCAGGUCCUCUAGAAGAGUCUCAAAUGCUGAGCCAUUUCCCAUGUCCGGUGCAUCAAUAGUAGGCACACGUAACUUUUCAAGAAACUGCCACACUAUAUUGCAGAGUGGCUGUGUCGCCUUAUAUCACCACCAGCAGUGUAGAGAGUUCUAGUCCCUCCACAGUCUCAGCCACACUGGUGUGGCUGGCAUUUUGAAUUCUGGCUAUUCUAAUGAGUAUGAGGUCAUCUCUCUGAUGACUAGUUAUACUGAGCAUCUUUCCACGCGCUUACUUCCUGUCUGUGUAUCUUCUUUGGCAAAAUGAUAAAAAUUUUUGUUCAUUUUUAUUGCUUUGAUUAUUACUGAACCUAGAGAACUAUAAAAACAUUCUGAUCUCGAAUCCAUGACCAUCGAUAAAAAGGAACAAACUAUGAAUACAUUCAGCAGCGUGGGUAAAUAAGCUGAGUAAGCAGGCACGUAUGACUCCUUCAGGAAAAUAUUGGAAGGUGUAAAUUAUCUCACAAGACAUUUUGCAUUCUUCUCUCUCCUCUCUUUUCCUUGUUUUGUAGGUAAACUUUCCUAUAUUUUGAAGACCUUUACAUCUCUCCGUGCAACUUCAUUUCAGAGUCUGGCACUGUGGCUCUUCUCCAUUUCUUUGUAGCCUGAGGAGGAGCGAGGAGGAGUGGAGGAGGGGAGGGAGAGCUCGCUGAGUACUGGGCAGUCUGUAUGAGCCUGCUUCUUUCCUUGGUUUGUCAAGUGAUCUUUUACUGACGAGCUUCCCUCUGGGGUUAAGCAGUUGAGCACUGUACUGCACCACUACUGGUGUCAUCCAUGGAGUCAAAGGGCAGCAACACCCAACACCCAACACUGCAGCCUGAGAGCUGGUAACCCCUGUCUCUAACAGUUCUAGGAGGUCUCUAGAUAAAACCCGGUGGGGUGGCGAGGCUGACACCACCUAACCGAGAGUGCCUGUCCCACUCUAACAUUUUUCUGUCUUCACUGCCUCUGAGUAGGUGUUUGAGGACUUCAGUGGUUAGGGCAGAGGUAGAAGGUGCCUGUCCUGAAUGCAAACUCCACUCUUACAUCUUUCCCAUUGCUAGCUGUCCUGGUGAUGCUGUCAUCAACUUUAUUUUGGGGUGGUGGUGGUGGUAGUAACACCAGGAACCUGAGAAGAGGAGGUGCCGCCUUCUGCUGGCCCUUUGACAUCUUUGGGGCUGACUUGGAUGAUACAGCAGAGGCAGCUGGUUCCACACAUAGGAGGAAAGCUGCACCUUGGCCUUCUCCAAGCCAAAAAUCUGAAAAGAGUACCUUCUGAGCUUUGGAUUGCUCAGUUCAGCUCAGAGCCCUGAAAAUGAUGGGCUCUGGGGCGGCCAGAAAUACUCCUGCAGUAACUUAAGUUUCUUUUCAAGGAUUUGGGCAACCCCUACCAAUGCCUGCUGAGUACCAUGAAGAAGUCUUAUAGUCUGCCCGUUAACUGUCUACCCAGGACGGCUUCUCAGGGAUACAGGUGGCUCAAAUACCACUGGGUCCUGUAAGAGCUGACAAUUCCCAAUUUCCUCAGCCACUAGUUUUCUGUCUACAUGGUCUUUUGGGGAUUGCUGUUCCCAUAGUUCUGCUUGGUUUUUACUAAUUCUCAUCUAUUGAAGGAAUGGGUUGAAGAAGGAAUACUUUAUUUUUCAGUUUCACUUCAUGUUCUUUACCUGGAAGGCCCUUGUGUAUCUGUGAAAUAGACAAGCGUAGUGAUCACGUCAUCUUGGCUGCUCCACAGAUCCUAGUCCAGCAUGAAGCAUGGAUCCGUACACAAACUAUGAUGAGGAUUAAGAAACCGAGCAAGGGAUGGAUUAAACAGCUUCUCAAAGUCAAGUAACCAUUGAGCCUGUGUUCUCCAUGUCUAGAGAGCAUCUCUUGUGUCUUUCUUGUUGGCCCUUUGCUCCUGCUAACCCAUCCAGGGUACUGUCAGCAAACCCAGUCUCUACAACGUCAGCCCCUCCAUAGUGACCCCACGGUGCCUGAAUGUUAGCUCUGGAUCCCGCACCACAAGCAAACUUGUCCUCACCCAACCUCUCCCCUCUAACAUUCCAACUUUAUCUUCUACGGAUCUCCAGAAGGUCCAGAGAAUACCCAAAACAAAA